ensembl:lncRNA
CUUCUACUUCAUUAAAGGAGAAAAAGCAAAGAAGGGAGCUGCUGCUACUGCUAAGUCGCUUCAGUCGUGUCCAACUCUGUGCGACCCAUAGACGGCAGCCCACCAGGCUCUGCUGUCCCUGGGAUUCUCCAGCUGCACACUAACAGGAAGGCACUGAUUGCCCUCCAGGCUUCUCCGCAGCCACUGCUGCCCUUGUUGGCAAUGACCUCUCCUCCUUGACCCCAGCCCUGAGACACAUGCAACUCAGAGUCUCUACUUUUCCAGGUCUGGGGGGAAUGAAGGUUUAUACAGCACCAGCUCUUCCCUGGUGAAAGAUUUUAACAAAGGCUUUUGCUCCUUGUGUUGAUGGAGAAGGAAAUGACAAUCCACUCCAGUAUUCUUGCCUGGAAAAUCCCAUGGACGGAGGAGCCUGGCGGGCUACAGUCCAUGGGGUCACAAGAGUUGGACACGACUUAGCAACUAAACCACCACCUUGUGUUGAAGAUUCCACAAAAGCACUAAAAGCAGCUCCAUUCCUGCUACCAUGCCGACUGUCCCAAGGCAGACUGAUGUGUCCUAGGACUGGAACACAAGGUGUCAUCUGAGAGGCUUUUGGUUGGCUAACCAGUCCCUGCUAUAUAUUGAUUGUGACAACCUUCCACAUGGUCAUUUUCACACUAGUCACCAUCUUACAACUUUUGUUACCAUCUGAGCCAUGUUUUAAAGCAUUCGACUGCCAGGCAAAACCCAGAGGAUCUUUAACAUCCUUGAAGGGAAAAAGUAAGCUUUGUAUUGUACCAAAGGACUUAGGUUCUGAUCUUAAAACAUUAAUCACUCAGUGAAUAAUCGUCUCCUUGGACCUGUUGAGAAAUGUAUUCAUGUUGAUAUU